GGAAUAUUUAAAACAACAUAUUUUACAAUCGAUCAACAACAUGUAACAGGAAAAUCGAGGUUGUAAAAAAAGAUAUUAAGACGUGGUUAUUGUGUAAGGUUUGUUUUCAUCGUCUGCAUUCUGGUCGCUUACAACAGCAAACUUCCACGAACGAGGCUCUCCUGACCCUACGAGGCUGUCGGGGCCGCCAGGGGCGUUGACGACGCCAGCGUCUCCUCGUCUUCAACAACGUCCCGGAAGAACAAGAGGGCGCGCAGGACGAACUGAAGAGCAUAACAGUGCGUUGCGUAGUGCCUAUGUCCGACGUGACAGUGAUGUAUCCCCGUGUUACUAAUGGCAGGAUGGGGAAGACGUGCGGCAUCCUCAUCGUCGGCGACGAGAUCCUGAAGGGGCAGACGGCAGACACCAACUCGUUCUUUCUGUGCCGCCGCCUCUUUGCCUUGGGCGUCAAGGUGUCUCGAAUAACCGUGAUUCCCGAUUUGAUGGGGGAUAUUGCGGAGGAGGUGUCGAGAUUCUCCAAGAAAUUCGACAUCGUCAUCACCUCCGGCGGCGUCGGCCCGACUCACGACGACGUCACCUACGACGGCGUCGCUCAGGCCUUCGGGCAAGGGUUGACGUACAACGAGGAGAUCGCAGACGUCAUACGCCAGUACCUGCCUGAAGGAGAGGCUGCGAAGCCGUCCCAUCCGGCCUACAAGAUGGCGAGCAUUCCUGACGGCGCGGUGCUACACUACCUCCGCGACGAGAGCGACGUCCUCGUGUGCAAAUUCCCACUGGUGUCGCUGAAGAACGUGUACAUGUUCCCCGGCAUCCCGGCCUACCUGGAGCGCGACUUCCACUACCUGGAGAAGCUCUUCUACAGCCCCGAUACCAAGUUCCACGUCAGGGACAUCUUCCUGUCGGAGGACGAAAAUAAUCUGACGGGGAAGCUGAACGAUCUGGUGAGCCACAGCCCGGCGGUGACGGUUGGGUCUUACCCCGAAGUGAACAACAGGUACUACCGCACUCGAGUCUCCCUGCAGAGCGAGUCCGAGUCCGAGCUGCUGGAGGCCGAGGAGUACCUGAGGUCUUCCUUUAGCGACGAGGUCAUCGUUGACUUCGAUAUCAACAGCAUUAGCCAUGCAGGGAGAAGGAUUUAUGACAUCAUCGCCCUACGAGGGGAACCCCACCUCUCUGGACCCAUCGCUAGUGCUGUGAAGAUUCUAGAAGAAUGUCUGGAUCGGUAUUCCACUGACGAGAUCUGCAUAAGCUUCAAUGGAGGCAAGGACUGCACAGUCAUCUUGCAUCUAUUGCAUGGAGUACUGCUUCACAGAUACCCAGAAAACACCCCAUCUAUCCAGGCAGUCUAUAUCACCUGCAGCACGCCUUUUGAUGAAGUGGAAGUCUUUAUUGAUCAGAUGGUCAAAAGGUAUAAUGUAACACUAUGGAGGAUAGAAGGACCUAUCAAGAAAGGCCUUGAGGAACUGACAAAGAAAGAACCAAAAGUGAAAGCAAUUUUGAUGGGUACCCGAUGGACAGAUCCCUACUCCAAAACACUCCAGCCAUUCCAGAUGACUGAUGAAGGCUGGCCUCAGUUCAUGCGUGUUUCUCCUAUUCUGGAUUGGAAUUACCAGACAGUGUGGACUUUCCUGAGAACACUGUCUGUCCAGUACUGCACCCUUUAUGAUCAUGGGUACACUUCACUUGGAGGGAUACACAACACGAUCAAGAACCCACACCUGAAGUACAGUGGAGAAGAUAAGAAGGAACACCAUUAUCCUGCUUACUUCCUGAAAGACAUGGCUUUAGAACGUGCUGGCAGGACAUAGUAUAAAGUGCGCUGUUUAAGCAUCUAUAUAAAUAAAUAGCCACAACCAGAGCCAUGGAUGAAGAUUAUUGUUUUAAAAAUUUGUGAAGUUGAGUGAUGUAGAAAUGUUAGUAAGCAUUGACUGACGGGAAAGAGUCAGGCAAAAAAAGAGAAAAGAAAAAAAUGAAAAAGAAAGGUAGCAAAAGAGAGAGGGAAAAAAUAUUUAAAGAUAAAUAGAUAGAAUGAAAGUAGUAAGAUAUUAAGAUAAAAGGAGUAUGCUUGUUUGCAUAUUGGUGUAGGUUGGGUUUAUUUAUACUGUAAAUAUCGUAAGUCCUUCAAAUUUGGUCAGUUAUAUGAUAAAUAAAUAAAGGAAAUUGAUCAAUA
rnacentral:misc_RNA from 1 species